rnacentral:rRNA from 1 species
CCCUUAGAUGCUCUGGGCCGCACGCGCGCUACAAUGGUCGAUGCAACGAGUUUCUUUCCUUGGCCGACAGGCCUGGGCAAUCUUUGAACAUCGAUCGUGAUCGGGAUAGAUUCUUGUAAUUUUUGAUCUUAAACGAGGAAUUCCUAGUAAACGCAAGUCAUCAGCUUGCAUUGAUUACGUCCCUGCCCUUUGUACACACCGCCCGUCGCACCUACCGAUUGAAUGGUCCGGUGAAAUCUCCGGACUGGCGUGAGUCGGAGCAAUCUGACAAACACCGGAAAGUUGAUUAAACCUUACCAUUUAGAGGAAGGUGAAGUCGUAACA